UCUCACGCUGAGAUCAUCUUUCUCUUUUCGCGAAGAACAAAUCCUAUUUUUCCAAAUUGAUUGUCGAUUGAUUUCCUAUUUUUCUUCUCUUCUUAGUUUUCUCCGUUAAUAAUCUUUCCCCACGAACAAUCAAUUCUCUCCCCACUCCUUUUCACUCUUUAAUCACAUUAAUGGAUUCUUUUCGCUUUCUUCCUCUGAGAUUCUAUAUAAGAUCUUAUUCUCUGUGUUUUGGUUGUCAUCAGAAGUUUUCACGGUGAAGCGGCGUCCCCUCAACUCCGGUUAAACCUGUGGUCCAAAUCGGUGUCUCUUCCGCGACAUCAGCUCCAUGAAACCGAAAGACGACGUAGCGGCGGUCUCCUCCGGUCCUGUCAAACCAAUCGUCCAGACCGGUGUCUCUUCCGGCGAUGUCACCUCGAUGAAGUCAAAAGGCGUAGCAGCAAUCUCCUCCGGUCCGGUCAAACCAAUUGGAAAAGGUCCACCUGUUGUGGAUGACGAUUUGAAUUUGUAGUGAGCACGCCCGGUUCAAUGGCUUGAAAAGUAAGAAUGAAAAGGUUUAAAUCCAGGUCACAAAAUUUAAAGUGAUAGUGGUAUCUACGACGGUCAAGAUGUCGCCGUGAAGCUUGAUUGGGAGGAAAGGCAUAGAUCAGAAGCUGAGAUUGUGUCUUUGAGGGCAGAUUUUGCUCAGGAAGUUGUUGUUUGGCAUAAACUGGACCAUCCAAAUGUUACUAAGGGUUACAACUACAAACAGAGAGUUGUCCACUAGCAAUGCCAAACAAUGUUAUGUUGUUGAAUAUCUUCAAGGUGGUGCUUUGAAAUCCUUCUUGAUCAAGAACAGAAGAAGAAAUUUAGCAUUUAAAGUUGUUGUUCAGCUCGCUCUUGACCUCGCUAGGGGUACCUCCACGAUGCGAUCCUACAGAAGCUUAAAGCGACAUUCCAAUCUACAUAACGUCUCCACCAUCCGUUACUCAGUUCUUUACUCUGUGUUACCCGUAGUUAUUUCACUUCUCCCACUUCGAUCAUUCAAUCUUUUCUUCGUAUUCCACCGUAACCGACUGAAGCUUCACCUAUAAUAUCGCACCGCCCUUUGCUGCGAUGUACAGUUCAACUCAAGCAAUAUUCAGAAGCAAAUUUUGUCUAAGCAAUCGACUCCGAUGGCGACUACGUACACUCUCCUUGCCUAUCUGAGCAUCGAUGAGUGUUGAUAUUCUACGCUGAUGCACGGAUCUAUUGAAGUGGAUGGCUUCAUAUCCAAGAAUCCAAAGCUCAAUUCAAUCGAGCCUCCUGUUAAGGAUGCCUGUACGGAAUAGAUGAAUAUGGAAGCUUAUUUUAUCAUGUUGCUUGCUGUCGUUUUCCUUAAUCAAAUAAUUUUUGGCGUUUUGCCAUUUUCAAACUAUUAGGUAUUUGGUUGAGUUCUUUGCACUGCUAAUAUAAGAAUAUUCGAAAAUUUUUUACCCUUUAAGCAACCAUGUAUUUCAGUCACACACUCCACCAACGUUCUUUGCUGCACAUGUUCCAUUCUACAAACUGUUCAUCUGAGCAUCUUAAGGAUCUAAGUAAGCUCUGCUUGCAGGUCACCUGUUCCUUAAUGCAACCUAUGCGAUAAGUCCGAACCCUAGAGCGAUAAGAUGUCCGUAUACUCGCACACACUUUGUCAACAUCUCACACUAUUUUCAGUGCAGUUGCGUGGUCCUCAGUUCAGCAAAGUAUGCAAGUGUCCAGAAAAUAGAACUAUGGAGGUAUCUAGAGAAUACAGCAUGUAACGGUGUCAGAGCUAAACGCCUACGUCCUUACAUUACAGAGAUUCUGUGCACCAGCAGAGUUGCAGGCAGUGAAACCACAAACGGUGAUGCUACAUGUACAAAUGUUGAGCCACAGAAUGAACAAGCUCACAAAACUCUUUAAGUACAAAUUGAAAAGCAGUAUGUGUAUACGUAAGGUGGUUUAGUCGGGAUUGUCAACCACAAAAGUCAGCCUUGGUUCCAAGAUAAGAUGUGGGAAUGAAAGUGAAAACACUGAGCUGAAGGAAAACCACGAUCUAGACAUGUUGUUUACAUUGUUUUGUGCUAAGAGAAAAACCUGUGAUGCAUAUCAUGUGACAAAAACCACAACACAACUUUUUAAUACUUUGAUAGUAAAUGUUUUGA